UACGUAGGGUGCAAGCGUUGUCCGGAAUUAUUGGGCGUAAAGAGCGUGUAGGCGGCCCGAUUAGUCCGCUGUGAAAGUCCAGGGCUCAACCCUGGAAUGCCGGUGGAUACUGUCGGGCUAGAGUCCGGAAGGGGCGAGUGGAAUUCCUGGUGUAGCGGUGAAAUGCGCAGAUAUCAGGAGGAACACCAAUGGCGAAGGCAGCUCGCUGGGACGCAACUGACGCUGAGACGCGAAAGCGUGGGGAGCAAACAGG
rnacentral:rRNA from 1 species